rnacentral:rRNA from 1 species
CGUGUAGGCGGUCAGGUAAGUGGAAUGUGAAAUGCCCCGGGCUCACCCGGGGACCGGCAUCCCAAACUGCCUGGCUUGAGUAUGGGAGAGGAUGGAGGAAUUCCUGGUGUAGCGGUGAAAUGCGUAGAUAUCAGGAGGAACACCGGUGGCGAAGGCGUCCAUCUGGCCCAAUACUGACGCUGAGGCGCGAAAGCUAGGGGAGCAAACGG